GCACUGCAGUUCAGUGUGGUAAGCUUUUUGUUCGGAACGUUCUAUCUAGUACGUAGUACAUAUAUAUCGAUGGUCUACACGUCAUUACACUCGUUCCCUAAACAUUUAAGGAGUCUUGCGCUCGAUCGGUAAAACAGUAUAGCAGUUUAGUUCGAAUUAAGAAUAAUAGAUGUCGCUAUAUGUCAUUCUGCGGAAGUAAAUUGACUUCCAUUUUUAGUCGUUUUUUAUACUCGAAGAACGAGUGACACGUGGUGUGAAAAAAAAUAGAAAAAGGUGCAAAAUCACAAAAAUUGGAGCGUAAAGUGAAUUGAUUAGCCUGUGACCAUGGUUAGCAACUAUAAACGAAAAACGAGCAAAGGCUCAUAUUCAAAAGAAAAAUUACAAGAGGCAGCACAAGCUGUUAGGGAUGGCCGUCUGAGUGGCUAUAAAGCUGCUCAGAUUUAUAAUAUACCCAGAAUGACCAUUAUGGACCAUGCAAAAAACAGGCGAUAUAAAUCGAAUUCUCUAGGUAGAAGCACUGCUCUAUCUAGAGACGUCGAAUCAAAAUUAGCUUCGUUACUACAUUCAAUGGAAAAAUAUGGAUUUGGAUUAACAAAAAAAGAGGUUCUAGAAAUGGUCGGCCAAUAUGUAAGACGUAAUGAUCUAUCGACUCCUUUCAAAAACGGAACUCCAGGUUCAGCGUGGUUUACAGCAUUCAAAGAACGACACAAUUUAUCCGUAAAGAAACCCCAGGCUGUCGAAAUCGCGCGUAAGAAAGCUAUAGAUCCUUUCAUAGUUUACCCAUAUUUUGAAUUGCUUUAUAAUACACUGGUAGAUUUAAAAUUAUUGGACCAACCAUCCGCCAUUUGGAAUGUAGAUGAAACUAGUUUUUCGAAUGAUCCCGAAAAAUCGAAAAUUGUUGGCGCAAAAGGACACCCUUCGACAAGAGUAAUCGCAUCACCUGGUAGAGAAAACACCACUGUAUUGCUUGGUGCUAGUGCGCAAGGAGAAAAAACUCCUCCCCUAAUCAUUUUCAAGGGGAAAAACGUAUGGGAUGAAUGGACAUCUCCAGAUGCUUAUCCCGGCACAUCCUACGCUGCUACGAAGAAAGGAUGGAUGGAGACCGACGUUUUUGAAAAGUAUUUUAAAAAAGUAUUCUUGCCUGCUGUUGGAGAUCAACGUCCGAUUCUUCUUAUUUAUGAUGGACAUGCUACUCAUGUGGGAUUAAACAUAAUCGAGGAAGCGCGUAAAGCAGAUAUAACAAUACUUAAGCUACCACCGCAUACUAGUCACAUCUUACAACCGCUAGAUGUAGCGGUCAUGAAAUCAUUUAAAGCUCGAUGGGAUCCAAUGCUCGUAAAAUGGCAACGUUCGAAUGUCGGAGUGAAGUUGCCGAAGAAAGAGUUUGCGAAGUUAAUUGGAGUGGUUUGGGCUGAAAUUGAUAGUCAAGUUUUAAGAAAUGGCUUUCGCAAGGCUGGAAUUUACCCGUUCAAUUCUGAAGAAAUCCAAGAAAGUUUAUUUGAUCCGUUAAAGCUAAGUCGUUGGAAAGAAUAUCAAGUUCUUAAGUCACAAGAAAGACGUGACUUUGACCAUAAUACUCCAGGAAGGCAUGAAAAUUACCUAAAUAUUUCAAAAGAACUAGUUUCUUAUAAUGAUGAAUCAUUUUUGGUCGCUACAACAAACCAGCCACAAAGUCUGUUUUAAUUAGCUUUUAAUUGCACAAUAGAAGAACUGUACCGUAUUCAGAAAAAUGAUUUGGAGUCAGGCAAAACAAAAAUUAUAAAAGAAAACCAAGUUACAGAUUCAGAAUUUCAUCAAAGACUGGCACAAGAAUCUUUCGUUUCCAAUAAGGAGUUGAAACACGUUGACAAUAGCAGUAAUAGGGUCCAGAUAUUAGAAAAUAGACGAAUAACCUUUGAAGAACUAUUAUUGAUGCAAGUUAAAGCUGGAGCUCAUGUAAAAGUCAAAAGACAAAAAAUUGCUCCCGGAGCUGAAGUUAUAACACAUAAUGAUGUUGUUAAGCGUAAAAUGGAAGAAAGAAAUAAAAAAGAACCGCAGACAAAGAAAAAUGCGACCAUGGUAAAAAAACAACCUAAGACUAACUAUCUAACCAAAAAAGGACGAAAGAAAACACAAAAAAAGUCCAAUCCAACGAAACAACAUUUGAUAUUGAUAGUGACCACGAUGCAGAUAUAACACCAAAGCGAGAUGCGUCGAUUUAUGGUCCGUCUACUUCAACAGGAAAUAUAGGUAAGCAAAGCUAUACGAAAAGAAAGCGGCUGCCAUCAAAUGACUCCAUAACUAGUAUUUCUGAUGUGAUGAGUCUAUACAGCGAUACGGACAUCAGCCUUGAAACACUGUGCGAUGAUGACUUUGAUAAUGAAAUCUAUUGCUUAGAAAAAAACUGUUUAAAUGUGAAUCAAGGAAAUGCUAGUAGCAAUGACGACUUACAGCUUAAUCCAAAAGGUAAACUACAAAAGAAAGCUCCAAAAAGUAAAAAUAAAGAACCGCAAGCAAAGAAUAAUAGGACCGUGAGAAAAAAUAAAUCAAAGAUUACUAAGUUACACAAAAAAGAGAAAAAGAUUACGCAAAUAAAACAAUCUUCCAACGAAACAACACCUGACGUUACCAGUGACGACGAUUUAAGCACCACGAUAACUGAUCUUGAAAUUGACAAAGAAAAUUCGGUUCCUGUAUCUCCUGCAUCAAAUGGAAAUAAUUCACUUUCCCGUCCAACUACUUUAACAGGAAUGACAGUUAUGAAUAGAGAUGUGAAACGAAACCACCUGUCAUCAAUUGAUUUCACAACUGUUGAUUCUAAUAAAAUGAAUAUAUUUAGCGAUAUAAAUAUGCACAUUAGUAUUCUAAAUGACGAUACUGAUGUCAAUUGUACUGUAAAAGAAAACAUUGUGAAUCAAAAAAAUAUAACUGACAAUGACAUCUUACAACACACGAAUUACAACAUAAAUGAUUCCGUACUAGUGAGAUACCGUAUGAGACAAAAGUGGACCUAUUACAUUGGAUUUAUAGAGGAUAUCAAUGUUGUGGAUGACGAAACAUAUUAUUUUAUAGACUUCUUAAAAACUGUAAAGAAACCACAACUAGUUUUUAAAAUGACCAAAAGAAAAGACCGUGAUAAUGUACCAGCUCCGUCUAUAGUUAAAAAGAUCGAAAUAGAAAGUGUUAAUGCAAAACAAUAUAACCUAUGCAAUAUUGAAGAUGAGGUAUAUUUUUAAAUAAGAUUGUACUUUUUAUUCAAUAAUUAUGUUAUGCUUGUCUAAGCUGAAUUGACGCGCCCACUACCUAAUUUUAAAUUUGCUUGUGUGUAAAAUGUGGCAGUGGGCGCGUCAUUCUAGCUUCUAAAAGCUCUAAAAUUGUUUUGCAAUUUCUGUUUGUUCUAUUUUGGUUUAAUCUAUGUCUGUUUGUGUAAUUAAGAAAACACAUUGCAUUGUUUCCUUAUUUUUACAUACUCUACGGGUUUUAUAGAGAAUACUCUGGUAAUUUUAAUAAUAUGAUUAAUGAUAAAAACCAAAAAUGGUUAAUGAUUAUUGAUUUUCUUACGACUAAUUAUUAUGUAUGAUUAUUAUGAUCAAAGAAGAAGAUGGCAUAGCUUUUUUUUAUUUUUAUAACGGAUUUUACGGAUUUUAAAGAGUAGUAAUUAUGAUAAGAAAUUUUAUAUAAUUUUAUUUUAAUAAUAAAAACAAAAUAAUAAGACUGUUGAUUUUAGUGAAUUAUUUAAUUUACGGCUGUGUGUAUGAUUAAGCCAAAAUAUUAUAUUCUUUUCUCAUUUAAGUAAAUGUGCUUUACGGACUAUACUUAUACAGAAUAAUUGUGAUAAGUUAGUAACCCUAUAUUCUUUUAUUAAAACAGAAAAACAAAUAUGACUGGUGUUUUUACAGAUUAGUUCGCUUUCUGUUAAAAAUAUAAAGCUAAUCGUAGUUACUGAUAAACUGCAAUCUUUCAAAAAAGUCCAGCCAACAAAAAGGUGAGAGUGAAUGAACGGGUACGUCAAGUGUUUCUUCUGAAACUUGUUAAGGAUGCUUGAGAAUUGAACAUAUAAAACGUCGUACAAAGGUACCAUUUAUUUGUGGUUUUCUUUAAAAAUGUGUACCAAAAAGAAUCAAAGUUCAUAAAAUUACGUAAAAUAAAAUUACUCACUUUUUCUUUUCGCUUAGGCUCAUUCAUUCUACACCCAACUUGGUUAACUGGACUAUAAAUUCCGCAUUAAAUUAUUUUAAUUAAAUAAGUUAGAAUGUCGUUCCUUACAUAAUUUUAUGUUGAAACAAAUAAGAUUCGAUUUAUAGUGAUUUGUUAUAAGAAAAUAAAACAUUUUUCAGUU
rnacentral:misc_RNA from 1 species